rnacentral:rRNA from 1 species
GUAGGUGGCAAGCGUUGUCCGGAAUUAUUGGGCGUAAAGCGCGCGCAGGUGGCUCUUUAAGUCUGAUGUGAAAGCCCCCGGGCUCAACCGGGGAGGGUCAUUGGAAACUGGGGAACUUGAGUGCAGGAGAGGAAAGUGGAAUUCCACGUGUAGCGGUGAAAUGCGUAGAUAUGUGGAGGAACACCAGUGGCGAAGGCGACUUUCUGGCCUGUAACUGACACUGAGGCGCGAAAGCGUGGGGAGCAAACAGGAUUAGAUACCCUGGUAGUCCACGCCGUAAACGAUGAGUGCUAAGUGUUAGGGGGUUUCCGCCCCUCAGUGCUGCAGCUAACGCAUUAAGCACUCCGCCUGGGGAGUACGGUCGCAAGACUG